CCAGCAUUUUGGCUCCCACCUGGAGAAAGUCGGCCUUGUGAGAAGCUCUCCUGGUGACCCAGCUCCACCAUACGGCCAUGAAGCAGACUCAUGUUUCACACGGGGUGCUGCAGCAUGUGAAUCAGAGGGAGUGAAAUUUUGCAUGGGGAUAGGGAUGAAGAGUUUUUCCUUCUUGAUGUAAAACUCAGCUGCAUCCAUCAUGGCCUUCUUGGGAAUGAGCCCCACCAGCUGAGA